rnacentral:piRNA from 1 species
UAAGAACUUCACCUGAGGUGUUAGUCUGGGC